rnacentral:lncRNA from 1 species
CUCUGGGCUUGUUUUCUACCCAAUGCGGUGGCUGUGAAGAUUAAAUGUGGUUCCAUAGAUAAAGCACUUGGCACGCUGGCUGGAUCACAGUGAAGCAUGAAGGAAAUGAGGGCUGCUCUCGUUCUGUUCUGUCACAUCUGUGUGUGAGGGUGAGGGAGUGGGGUGGCAGGAGAGCAACCAGUGACACAGGCCUCCCAUGCCAUGCUGAGGUGCUGAGGUGGACGGAGAUGCACGAGAUGAUGUGGCAUCCCUCUUGAAAUCUUGGGGGAUGCAGAGACAGAGAACCAGGCAGGGUCGGGGAAGCUCCAGACACUAACUCUGCCUCUGCCUCCCCAGGUUAUCCCCUUCUCCAUCCCCCAGGCAGAAUACGCCAUCAAAGACUUGUACACAGGGGGGAUGUUUACUGAUGGAGGGGCCACUCUUCUAGAGAAGCUGUACGUUAUCUGCUGCGACUCAGGGGUGGGGCAUGGUGGAAACAAGAGAGGGGGACAUUGUGGAUCCCAGCAUAAAGGGCAUGGUCAACCAGCUCUGCCUGCCAGACCCCUUCACAUGUUUCUUGGCCUGGAUCCCGAAGUACAUAGUAAGUGCAGG